rnacentral:rRNA from 1 species
AGGGAAUUUUCGGCAAUGGGGGAAACCCUGACCGAGCAACGCCGCGUGAAGGAAGAAGUAAUUCGUUAUGUAAACUUCUGUCAUAGAGGAAGAACGGUGGAUAUAGGGAAUGAUAUCCAAGUGACGGUACUCUAUAAGAAAGCCACGGCUAACUACGUGCCAGCAGCCGCGGUAAUACGUAGGUGGCGAGCGUUAUCCGGAAUUAUUGGGCGUAAAGAGGGAGCAGGCGGCACUAAGGGUCUGUGGUGAAAGAUCGAAGCUUAAUUUCGGUAAGCGAUGGAAACCGUAGAGCUAGAGUGUGUGAGAGGAUCGUGGAAUUCCAUGUGUAGCGGUGAAAUGCGUAGAUAUAUGGAGGAACACCAGUGGCGAAGGCGACGAUCUGGCGCAUAACUGACGCUCAGUCCCGAAAGCGUGGGGAGCAAAUAGGAUUAGAUACCCUAGUAGUCCACGCCGUAAACGAUGAGUACUAAGUGUUGGGUGUCAAAGCUCAGUGCUGCAGUUAACGCAAUAAGUACUCCGCCUGAGUAGUACGUUCGCAAGAAUGAAACUCAAAGGAAUUGACGGGGGCCCGCACAAGCGGUGGAGCAUGUGGUUUAAUUCGAAGCAACGCGAAGAACCUUACCAGGUCUUGACAUCGAUCUAAAGGCUCCAGAGAUGGAGAGAUAGCUAUAGAGAAGACAGGUGGUGCAUGGUUGUCGUCAGCUCGUGUCGUGAGAUGUUGGGUUAAGUCCCGCAACGAGCGCAACCCCUGUUGCCAGUUGCCAGCAUUAAGUUGGGGACUCUGGCGAGACUGCCGGUGACAAGCCGGAGGAAGGCGGGGAUGACGUCAAAUCAUCAUGCCCCUUAUGACCUGGGCUACACACGUGCUACAAUGGACAGAGCAGAGGGAAGCGAAGCCGCGAGGUGGAGCGAAACCCAUAAAACUGUUCUCAGUUCGGACUGCAGUCUGCAACUCGACUGCACGAAGAUGGAAUCGCUAGUAAUCGCGAAUCAGCAUGUCGCGGUGAAUACGUUCCC